rnacentral:rRNA from 1 species
UAGAAGCAGCCAUCAUUUAAAGAGUGCGUAAUAGCUCACUAGUCGAGUGACACUGCGCCGAAAAUGUACCGGGGCUAAACAUAUUACCGAAGCUGUGGAUUGUCCUUUGGACAAUGGUAGGAGAGCGUUCUAAGGGCGUUGAAGCAUGAUCGUAAGGACAUGUGGAGCGCUUAGAAGUGAGAAUGCCGGUGUGAGUAGCGAAAGACGGGUGAGAAUCCCGUCCACCGAUUGACUAAGGUUUCCAGAGGAAGGCUCGUCCGCUCUGGGUUAGUCGGGUCCUAAGCUGAGGCCGACAGGCGUAGGCGAUGGAUAACAGGUUGAUAUUCCUGUACCACCUAUAAUCGUUUUAAUCGAUGGGGGGACGCAGUAGGAUAGGCGAAGCGUGCGAUUGGAUUGCACGUCUAAGCAGUAAGGCUGAGUAUUAGGCAAAUCCGGUACUCGUUAAGGCUGAGC